UACGAAGGGGGCUAGCGUUGUUCGGAAUUACUGGGCGUAAAGCGCGUGUAGGCGGGUCCUUAAGUCAGGGGUGAAAUCCCAGGGCUCAACCCUGGAACUGCCUUUAAUACUGGCAAUCUCGAGUCCGAGAGAGGUGAGUGGAAUUCCGAGUGUAGAGGUGAAAUUCGUAGAUAUUCGGAAGAACACCAGUGGCGAAGGCGACUGACUGGACAGGUAUUGACGCUGAGGUGCGAAAGCGUGGGGAGCAAACAGG
rnacentral:rRNA from 1 species